rnacentral:rRNA from 1 species
CGGGUGCGUAACGCGUAUGCAACCUACCCUAUACAGGGGGAUAGCCCGGAGAAAUUCGGAUUAAUACCCCAUAAUAUUUUCGAUUCACCUGGAUUGAUCAUUAAAGCUUCGGCGGUAUAGGAUGGGCAUGCGUCCCAUUAGCUAGUUGGUGAGGUAACGGCUCACCAAGGCUACGAUGGGUAGGGGUUCUGAGAGGAUUAUCCCCCACACUGGUACUGAGACACGGACCAGACUCCUACGGGAGGCAGCAGUGAGGAAUAUUGGGCAAUGGACGAGAGUCUGACCCA